rnacentral:rRNA from 1 species
UACGAAGGGGGCUAGCGUGCUCGGAAUCACUGGGCGUAAAGCGCACGUAGGCGGCUUCUUAAGUCAGGGGUGAAAUCCUGGAGCUCCAACUCCAGAACUGCCUUUGAUACUGAGAAGCUUGAGUUCGGGAGAGGUGAGUGGAACUGCGAGUGUAGAGGUGGAAAUUCGUAGAUAUUACGCAAGAACACCAGUGGCGAAGGCGGCUCACUG